GACGAACGCUGGCGGCGUGCUUAACACAUGCAAGUCGAACGGAAAGGCCCCCUUGUGGGGUACUCGAGUGGCGAACGGGUGAGUAACACGUGAGUAACCUACCCUUGACUUUGGGAUAACUUCAGGAAACUGGGGCUAAUACCGGAUAGGAGCUCCUGCUGCAUGGUGGGGGUUGGAAAGUUUCGGCGGUUGGGGAUGGACUCGCGGCGUAUCAGCUUGUUGGUGGGGUAGUGGCUCACCAAGGCUUUGACGGGUAGCCGGCCUGAGAGGGUGACCGGCCACAUUGGGACUGAGAUACGGCCCAGACUCCUACGGGAGGCAGCAGUGGGGAAUAUUGCACAAUGGGCGGAAGCCUGAUGCAGCAACGCCGCGUGCGGGAUGACGGCCUUCGGGUUGUAAACCGCUUUCGCCUGUGACGAAGCGUGAGUGACGGUAAUGGGUAAAGAAGCACCGGCUAACUACGUG
rnacentral:rRNA from 1 species